UACGGAGGGUGCAAGCGUUAUCCGGAUUCACUGGGUUUAAAGGGAGCGUAGGUGGCUUUGUAAGUCAGUGGUGAAAUCUUAGAGCUCAACUCUAAAACUGCCAUUGAUACUGCUUAGCUUGAAUCACGUCGAGGUGGAUGGAAUAUUACAUGUAGCGGUGAAAAUGCUUAGAUAUGUAAUAGAACACCGAUUGCGAAGGCAGUUCACUAGGCGUGUAUUGACACUGAGGCUCGAAAAGCGUGGGGGAUCAAACAGG
rnacentral:rRNA from 1 species